CUUUUGGAUUACGGCUCUGAAUAGAAACACAAUCCAAAACUAGAGGUGGGCUUUUCUUGUUUACAUGCAUGGCCUGCAACUUCCAAAUCAUGGAGGAACCACCAAGAACCAGAGCAAAUUCUUGAUUUCUACAAACAACAAGCUCAAUCUCUUUAACUGUUUCCUUCCCAUGGACUGUGCCUUUGUUCCUCACAUCUCCUGUCCCCGUAUCCUCAUCCAUUCAAGUUUUCAUCGGAUUUUUGCAGCUCCCAGCAGUGCAGGAACUGGGUUAUACAGACACAGGUUGUUGAGCCGAUGUUGGGGUAUUGGGGUGAGUCCUGGAAUUGGACGUGGAAAUUUUUCUGAUGAUAGUUCUUUGAAGGGAAACGAGAAUGGAUCUCUGCAGCUUAGUACUUUUGAUGAAUCUGCUACAGCACCAUUUGAAACACUUGAUGCUGAAAUUACUCCUGAAACAAUCGAUUUCUUCGUCAGUGACGCUGAAGGUGAUCCUGACUGCCCAUCUCCAGGCUACUCUUCAAUUGAGCAAGCAAUAAGUUCUCUCCGCCAAGGAAAGUUUGUGAUCGUUGUAGAUGAUGAAAAUGGCGAUAUUGAAGGAAACAUUGCCAUGGCAGCAUCUCUUACAAGUCCCAAGCAUGUAGCAUUCAUGGUUAAACAUGGAUCAGGGAUUGUUUCUGUAGGCAUGAAAGAGGAGGAUCUUGAAAAGUUGAAGCUUCCUCUAAUGUCUCCAGAGACAGAAGAUGAAGACUCUUCAGCCCCAACUUUCACCAUCACAGUGGAUGCGAAAACUGGAACGUCCACUGGAGUAUCAGCAGAAGACAGGGCCAAGACAGUUCUUGCUCUUGCAUCUCCUGAAUCGAAACCCGAAGAUUUUCGGCGGCCGGGCCAUGUGUUUCCACUCAAGUAUAGAAGUGGUGGGGUUCUGAGAAGAGCAGGUCAUACUGAGGCUUCUGUAGACUUAGUAAUGCUUGCAGGAUUGCAGCCAGUUUCUGUUCUUUCAGCCGUUGUUGAUCCAGAGGAUGGUUCCAUGACUUCUUUAGCUGGUUUAAGAAACUUGGCAUUAGAGCACAGCAUCCCAAUCGUCUCAAUAACCGAUUUAAUAAGAUACAGGAGAAAAAGAGAAAAUUUGGUUGAAAGAACUGCGAUUUCUCGUCUGCCAACCAAAUGGGGUCUGUUUCAAGCAUACUGCUACAAAUCAAAGCUAGAUGGAACAGAACAUGUAGCAGUUGUUAAGGGUGAUGUUGGAGCUGGACAGGAUGUUCUUGUGAGGGUUCAUUCAGAGUGUUUAACUGGAGAUAUUUUUGGAUCAGCUCGUUGUGAUUGUGGAAACCAAUUGGAUUUAGCAAUGCAAUUAAUCGAACAAGCUGGUAGAGGCGUUGUGGUUUAUCUUAGAGGUCAUGAAGGAAGAGGGAUUGGGCUUGGUCAUAAACUUCGAGCUUACAAUUUGCAGGAUCAAGGCCAUGACACUGUCCAAGCUAAUAUUGAACUUGGUUUAGCUGUCGAUGCACGCGAAUACGGUAUCGGUGCUCAGAUUCUAAGGGACAUAGGAGUUCGAACAAUGCGUCUGAUGACAAAUAAUCCAGCAAAAUUCACAGGAUUGAAGGGAUAUGGAUUGGCAGUGAUUGGAAGAGUUCCAGUGUUGACAUCCAUUACAGAGGAAAAUAAAAGCUCUCUCAAACCCUAGUUACGGCUCGGCUGCUGUUCGCCCACAGGGUUUCAGGCAAUUAGAAAGGUCUAGUUUUAUUGUGGAUUAGUAGCAAUGGCGCCAGCUAAAGCUGACAGUUCAAAAAAGCCUGAUGCAAAGGCACAGGCUGUCAAGGCUGCAAAAGCAGUGAAGUCUGGUCCAACCUUCAAGAAGAAGGCCAGUAAGAUCAGAACUAAGGUUACAUUUCAUCGCCCAAAGACAUUGAAGAAGGAGAGGAAUCCCAAAUACCCUCGCAUUAGUGCUCCACCCAGGAACAAGCUUGAUCAGUAUCAGAUUUUGAAAUUUC